AUCUCUAGUUAGGCUAGAACUCAGUGACCAGAUUGACCCUCACAUAUCAGUAGUGUAAUGCAGUGAAGGUUUCCUUUGCUCUCUCAGCCCAGGCUGAUGGCGUCAGGAAGCUUCCUUCAUCUGCAGCGUCAGCAGCACCAGCCUCCCAGCCACUGCCGCACGGAAGGGACGGAGGAGACUAAGGCCCUGAGCAGCCCUGGCCCAAAGCCAGCCCUGUGCCUCCCACUCCUGCUCCAUCGGCAUAGGAGUCACACAGGCAACCGAAAGUUACAGCAUAAGGCGAUUUAUCCAGCUGGACAUAUACCUUGAAAUGGAAAUGGCACCCCACUCCAGUAUUCCUGCCUGGAUAAUCCCAAGGGCAGAGGAGCCUGGGCAGCUAGAGUCCAUGAGGUUGCAAAGAGCUGGACACAAAUGAGCAUGCACGGAAGGACAUAUGACUGUAAUAAUCAAUAUGGCUUCACUUUGCCCUGCACACAGUUCUGAAAGAUACUUUGCUAAAAUGUUUUAAGCUCAGACAGCUGACAUUAAUGCUAUUAGGUAUUAUUCACCAGAAAUCACUGUGAAGUCUACUCUAUUUAUUCAAGCAAUUCACACCCCCAGCAGCUGGAUGGCUGACCUAUUUCACUGUAGUUGGAUGAUGUUACUUUUUUGUUUGCUUGUUUUGCUUAAGUGAUGCAUUAAAAUUUUCAUCUGAUUUUUGUAUACUUUGCACCUCUGAUUCACUAGUGAGGAAGAAAAUGUUUGUAGUCAUUUUUCUUUUUUUUUUUAAUUUAUAGUUUGCCUUUCCUUUUAACGGCUAUUUCUAUAUUAGGAACAGCAACUUGUUAUGUCUUCUGAUAGUAUUCUAAUUGCAUAAAAGUUUCCCAACUCAUUAUUUUGCAUAAGCUAUAUGCUAAAUACUACAUAUAUAAUGCACUUAUAUGUAUAUAGGGAGACAAGUUAAAUAUAACUGUGUUUUCCAAGUUUCAUAUCUACUACCUUAAAAUCUUCCCCUUGACCAAAAUUUAUAAAUAUUCUUCUACAUAUUAUUUUACCUUUAUUUUAUAGUUAGUUUUUAUAUUUUACUCAUAUUAAAAUUUCACAUGAAGACAGGGUCAAGGAAGAACUUCUGGGAAUUAGUUGCCCUUUUAAGUUCCAGGUUUUUCUACCACGUCUUUAUAUCACUCUUGUCCCAUAGGUCAUUUCUUUCUAUUCAAACUAUAUCUUCUAAGUGUUCCCAUUAGAGUCUAUGGAAAUAGUAAACUGCUUUUCUUGUAUACUUAUCUACAGAAAUUUUUCUUGAAUUUACUCCAAUUAAUUAAAAAAAUUUAAUUGAACAAGCACUUACUGUCUACUGUUGUCUGCUGUUUGUCUAAUGUUGGGAAAACAUUGCC
ensembl:lncRNA